UCUGUAAAGAUUAUUAAUUAGUACAUUAUUUUUCGAAAAAUUUAAAAAUAAUUUAACCAAUAUUAGAAUAUUUUUUUUUUUAUUUGACUGAAACUGGGAUAACAACAUAUGAAUUUCAUGCAUAAUCCUUAAAUACUGAUUGCAUCCAGUGACCUACAUUCCAGUAGAUUCCUAACCUAAUAUUGCAAAUAAAUAACAUAAUGCAAAGGUUUGAAUGUUAUACUUGAUCAUAAGCUUAAAUUUGAAAUUGGCGAUCGCUUUAAUGUCGAGAUCAAAGGAUCGUAGAUAGUUGGAUGCAACGAAAUAUUGGGUUGGAAAAUCUUAAUGAAGGGAACCUGAUGGGUAAUCAAAUUUAUUAAAAACUUCACAAGGAACACCUAAAAUAUAUUUUUAUUAUAAUUUUAUAAAUUUCUGUUAAGAAUAAUUUAUGUUUUGUUUAAAAGGAAUAUAUAAUCGAAAAAGAUGAUUAAGAAUAUUGGAAGAGAAAAAAAAUUUAAUUGAAUUUAUAUCUAAAAAUGAUGAUUCAGCUGCUCGUAAAAACUGCAUGGUGGACAUCAAUUUCGUGAAUUAUCGCGUGCAAAUCUUUCAUUUACAUGAACGUGUUGAAAAAAUAAGAAAGAUUGCACGCAACUUUACAGCAAUAACGCUCAAGCACGAGAUUAAAUGGCUACUUGUGUAACUACAUUUAUGUCGUCGAUGUUUAAUGUUUGUGGAACAAGAAAAUUAGUAAAAAAAAAAA